rnacentral:rRNA from 1 species
AGGGAAUAUUGCACAAUGGAGGAAACUCUGAUGCAGCAAUGUCGCGUGAGUGAAGAAGGCCCUUGGGUCGUAAAGCUCUUUUAUGGGGGAAGAUGAUGACGGUACCCCAAGAAUAAGCACCGGCUAACUACGUGCCAGCAGCCGCGGUAAUACGUAGGGUGCGAGCGUUGUUCGGAAUUACUGGGCGUAAAGGGCGCGCAGGCGGAAUAGCAAGUCGGAGGUGAAAGCCCGGGGCUCAACCCCGGAGGGUCUUUCGAAACUGCUAAUCUAGAGAGGGUCAGGGGCCAGCAGAAUUCCUGGUGUAGAGGUGAAAUUCGUAGAUAUCAGGAGGAAUACCGGUGGCGAAAGCGGCUGGCUGGGACCACUCUGACGCUGAGGCGCGAAAGCGUGGGGAGCAAACAGG